UUAACUACCUAAUAGAGGGUCGUAGAAGAUCUAUGUUUAAUCUACACAACAUCGUAUGUCCAGAAAUUAUAAAUAAAUUACAACUUUCAGCAAUGGAUCUCUUGGUUCUCGCAUCGAUGAAGAACGCAGCGAAUCGCGAUAAGUAAUGUGAAUUGCAGAUUUUCAGUGAAUCAUCGAAUCUUUGAACGCACCUUGCGCCCCUUGGUAUUCCGAGGGGCAUGCCUGUUUGAGUGUCAUUUUAUCAUCAACUCAUUAGUCUUUCAUUAGGCUAUUGGGCUUGGAUUUGGGAAUUGCUGGCUUGAUCUUUUACCCAUUGAACAGUAUCUAAUACUUAAUAGAGGGUAAAGUGUAGUCGGCUGUCCUUAAAAGCAUUAGCGAGUGUUAGUCUACAUGGCACGGCCUCUUGACGUGAUAAUGAUCGUCGUGGGCUGGAAGUGUAGUGUCUGGCUUCUAAUCCGAUUGUGUGCAUACGGCCCUUAAAGCUGGAAGCGCAAUCAAAACCGACUACGUGCAUACGGCCCAUAAAGCUGGAAGCGUAAUCAAA
rnacentral:rRNA from 1 species